rnacentral:misc_RNA from 1 species
GAUGAAGAACGCAGCGAAACGCGAAAGGUAAUGCGAAUUGCAGAAUCAGUGAGUCAUCGAAUCUUUGAACGCACAUUGCGCCCCCUGGUAUUCCGGGGGGCAUGCCUGUUCGAGCGUCAUUUCACCACUCAAGCCUCGCUUGGUAUUGGGCAACGCGGUCCGCCGCGUGCCUCAAAUCGACCGGCUGGGUCUUCUGUCCCCUAAGCGUUGUGGAAACUAUUCGCUAAAGGGUGUUCGGGAGGCUACGCCGUAAAACAACCCCAUUUCUAAGGUUGACCUCGGAUCAGGUAGGGAUACCCGCUGAACUUAAGCAUAUCAAUAAGCGGAGGA